CCCUCAGCAGGCUUCCGUGCUUUCAACUUUUCUCAUUAAAAAGGGACAUUUUUCACAUAGACAUCCACCCUGGAGAAGAAACCAGCAAGCCUGUUCUUUACAGGUUGCUUGGCUAGGAAGUCCUAAGGCUCCUCCCUGCAAAACUGCGGGUGACAGCGAGUGACCCAAUCCCUAAACGAGUGCUUCGUGUAGCCGCAGCCAACUGGACAAAGCAGCAGCUGGACAGGUCACGGAGGUGGAGGUGCCCUUUGAUGACAUUGGGAGCAGUAGAAGAGAAUAACCAAAGAGGGGAAAAAGUGGCCAUGGUAAGUAUUAAAUGUGCCACUGUAAAUCCAGUAUGAGGCAGGUCACUUUAGUCUGCCUGAGAAUUCCUUCAAAGGUCUGUGUUAGACUACCUAAAUGAGGUUUGGGCAUUGGAACACUAAUAAACUAUUUGGGCAGCAUAUAUUCCA
rnacentral:lncRNA from 1 species